rnacentral:lncRNA from 10 species
UGGUACCCGAGGCCGGGCCGGAGCCGCAGGCCAGCCGCGAUUCCUUCGGGCGAUGCUGGGGGCUUUCCGGUCGGGGCCGCAGCCGCUUCCGGAGCCGCGGGCGAGGUGCAAGCGGUCUUCUCUGUCUUCUUUAUGGCCAGUAAAAUUCUCCAGAAGAGAUUUAUGGCAGCCUCACUCCCAGUAGUUUCUGCAUUUAGUGAGAUAAGCCACAGCAAUUGUCUGCUAUUUUAAAAGCACUGUGAUGCUUAAAUAUUCCAGCUGCUACAUCGGACAGGUGUCUGAUGAUCCUGAGAACAGUCAUCAAAAAGUAGAACUUGAGCCUGGAAUACAUUCUCUGGCAUAGCCAUAGUCAAUCACCAGUAUAAUUAAUGUAAAUGGACACUGGAUAGCUUUUUUGUGAAUUCUGAUGCAGCACAAAGAGACUUUAAUUGUUUCCAAAAAGAAAAUGUCUGAGAUUAAAAUCUAGAGUUUUAUGACUUAGAGGAAAUUUUAUAGCUUUACUCCAAAAAGGGUAAGGCACAAAAUAUUCUGUGCCAAAGGAUGCAUAUUUGGUAUUUUUCCUAUGAAUCCCUUAGUGUAAGUGGCAUGAUGAAAUUUUCUUGGUUUCAACACAGAUGAUGUGUUGAGGUAGUGUUGAGGCUGAGAGGUGGGUGGGAUGGGUCUUGGAGAAGGAAAAGAUUUGUUUUGCAAGGUUUGUGGAGAGCUGAUGCGGUAGUGAGGCUAAGACGAGGGGUAUUUACUUGCUACUUACAUUGAGUCCACUAACAUCUGCAGCACUUUGCUUGCAUUAUCCACGCAAUUAUCACGGGAAACCUAUAAAAUAAGUAUUCCUCUCCUCAUUUUACAAAUAGGGAAGCAGAUAAGAUUUAGAAAAUUUCCCAAACUCACACAAUUAUUAAAUGACAGAACUAGGACUCAAACCCAGGUUUUAUUAAUUUUAGAGACAUGUUUUUAACCACUUGGACACUGCCAACCAUGGAAUUGUUGGUAUGAAAAAAACGUACUCUUGAGUUAUAUUAUCCAUGGUCUUAAUAUCAGAGAAGUGCAGUUGAGUCGCUAUUAAAGAAUAUGGUAAAAUUAUAAAAUGGAUACUAUACAAAGGUAUAAAAAUAUUAUAAAUACUUAUGUUUGGGGUAAAAGGAUCAAAGUAGCCAUGCUCAGUGGAAGGGUAAGGAACUCUUAGCAGAGAUUGAUUAAUUGGGAGAUAAUUGAUUAAUUGGGAGUUGAUUGAUUAAUUGGGAUUUAUUAAUUUGGGAGUAGGUAGGAAGAUAGGAAGUUGUAUAAAAUAAGGGAGAGAUAACUUAGUACCUGGAAAAAAAGAAAUGGAAAUAGGUAGAAGCUAAGAGUUCAAUUAAAAAAAAGGAAUAAAAGAUAUUGGAAGGGAACGAUGAAUGUAGCAUGGAAGAUCCAAGAUGAUGGGAGUUCAGGGGCUAAUUACAGCUAUGGGGAAAAAGUAAUGUAUAAGCUGGAAGCCAGAGAUAAGAGCCAUGUAAAUGAAGAAGUUGGGCCCCAAUAGGAAAGAAUUAUAAGGACUAGAAGGAGCAGGAGCCAUGUGGAAAAAUAUCAUGUAGUACUUUUAAGCUUGAUCUGUCAUCUGUAGCAAAACCAGCAUGCUUGAGUACUGAAUUGACCUGACUGAACUAUGUUGAAAUGUACUGUGGUUUUAUAUCCAUAUGCACUUGGUCUGUGGAGUUGUGGGAAAAGCAUCAGUGAGUAGGAAGCCCAAGGAUUUGGGUCAAGUAUUAAAUAUGCUAUUUACUGUCUAGCUAUGUGACCUUAUAUAAGUCACUUGUGGUCUCUGAGCCUUCAUGUAUUCAUCCAUAAGAUGAGUUGUUGUUUAUAUUAAAUGGGAUGUGGUAUGUUAAAGAGCUGAAUGCAUAGUGAUACAGAAUUACUUUCUGUAAUACUAUUUUUUAAAUAUUUUAAAUGAAAAAUUAAUGAACUUAUAAAUUAAAAGAUUCAAAAGGGAUAAAAAGGUAUACAAUGAAAAGCAAUUCUCCUUCCCACCAGUAACUCUGUCCUACUCCUUAGGACAUUCACCAUAAACAGAUAUCCUGAAUUCUUCUAGAAAUAUUAUAUAUAAAAUCUUAUAUUUCUUAUGUUUCUUUUUUACUAUUUUAAAGGGGAUAAACUAAACUUUGCUUUUUUUCAUAUAAUAAUAUAUUCUGGAGAUCAUUUUCUAAAAGCACAUGUAAACAUACCUCAUUAUUAUAAAGGUUUGAAAAUAUCAAUUUAUUUGACCUGUCCCCUCUCGAUAGAUAAUUAGAUUGUAUCCAUCCCUUUGGUUAUUACCAACAGACACUAAUCACUUAUCAUGUACAUAUAGCCUGUUUUUUAGCAUUGUUAGACAAAGUAGGCAUAUUCCUUUCCAUCCAAGAACUCAUAACCUAGUAAUUGUAGUUGGCUGAUAGCUCAUUGCCCAUACACAAGGAUCUAACACAACCUCUUGAAUAAACAUCCCCCUUAUUCAGAAAUGCCUUUUCCUAUUUCCAUAUUGCAACUUUGCUUACAAAUUUCCAAUCUGUCUUUCUGUUUACAGAAGAUAUACAAAAUUCCUUUUGUAUGAUCUCUUUAUAUCUCUUGAUUUUCUUUUGUGUUUGCUACCAAAGGGCCUGCACAUAGUGAGAAGAUUGUGCAUGAUCUGUGAGCUCUACCACACCUGGAAUUAGGGAUCACCAAUAUGAGAAAAAAAAUUGGAGGUACAAAUAACAUUAUCAUAUGUAAUUGGCAUAUAAAUUACAGAUGUAUCUAUGACUAAAAACCCUGUGGAUAUAAACCAAAUGCAGAUAAAUAUAAUAAAAUAUAUAAAAAUAUAAUCAAAUAAUGAUAGUGCUAUUCAAAUACUUCAAAUUUGCACAGUGAUUUAUUUCUUAAAAUAUGUUAACACAUGUGAGCCAAUACACUGAGGUCACUGGAUAAAUAAACAGAUUCUUGCAAGUGCUUUGGAAAUGAAACUUUUUUUUAUCAUUUUAAUUUU